AAGCAAUGGCCUUCAAGUGUUAGCCUCAUCAGAGUCAGAGCCCAGCAUUCAGGCAAGCCCCAUUGCUCCAAGGCUAGCAGAAACGCAGAGGAAAACCAGCCUGCUCGCUUCUGGUGUUCCCCCUGCUUUGCCAGAACCAUCCUGCCAUCCCCAGAAGUGAAUCCAGCCUCCAUCUCAUGGGGCGCUUGUCUACCUGUGCAGGCUCACUCACCUGCAGCCCUAGACCACGUUUAUGGUCCAAGUCCCUGUCCUUCUUCCCACCUGGAUUCACAUCUGCCCAGUGUAGAGCAGCUCAAGAUGGCCCAGGGGGACCACAUGACUCAAGGGCAGAGGGGACCUCAGGUGAACACACAGGAAGGGCAUUCACAGAGGCACCAGACAGAGGAGGGAGGGUAGAACUGCAGGUGAGAGGCAUCUCACCAAUCACAACAGGGGGCUGGAAAGUGGAGGAGGGAAGGAGACAGAGGACAAGCAUCGCCAAGGGCUCCUGGACCCACAGACCGAGAAGCAGGCCGGCCUGGGGCUCUUGCCAGAGAGAAGAAAACUGGAGAUGGCUCACGGCACAGAAGGGCAGCCAGGCCCCAGCUAGGACCUGCAUUCUCCCUCCUCCGGUUCUCCUCGGCCCAGGACAAGCAGAUCUGAGGGCUCUGGAGGAAUCCCCCUUGUCAUCCCCACGUUCACGAUUAGCACACCCAACAGUUUUUGGAAGAAAAGUUUAAAAUGAGCCCUAGAGAAG
ensembl:lncRNA